GUUUGCUUUGGCAACACAUAAGCUACAAUUUGAAAUGACAGAGACAAUUAGCAUGAUCCUUGAGCAAAGAUGACACCCAAAUUCAUGAACCAAAAUUGGAAUCA